AAUAAUUCAAUUCUCAAGAGCAAAUUGACCCCAGAAACAAUAGUUUGUCGAUUAAGAUCUUCUCAGGAUUUGUGUUCUCUGCCCAGCGUUCAAAAGGUGUAUCAACUUUCUGGACAGUACAUCUAAAGCUGAUUCAUGUUUGUCACUGAGAUCAUACUCCAGAUGAGAUGCCUGUAUAAGCCUUUUUUUGUUCUUUUUACAUCUAGGAAACCAGCAGGCAUCCAUGAAGAGGUAACCGGCUCCUAAAAGAGUGAACUGCUUCUGAAUCCCGUCAGAGGAUGUCAUUUUAAGCCGAAUCUCAAACACUUGUUGUGUUUGACUUCGGCGAUGGUCGAUGCAGGUGCAUUGCUUUGUUUCUGCUGCUUUGAGAGAGAGUGCUUCUCCAUUGCACUGAUAAAUUUUCGCAGGUGCCUGAUGUACUCGGGAUAAGUUUCUAGAUUGCAAUGACCACCACCCUUGACCCAUAGUGGAUCAUACUUUUCUUUGGAUAGCUCCCACAAGCGCUUUCCAUGGGACCAAUCAACAAUAUCAUCAGCUGUUCCCUGCAAAUGAUUGAUUGAUCAAUUAGCAUUAACGAAUUGAUCAAUUAGCGUUUACAAUGAUCAGCAUUUACAAAGACAACAAUGGUAACUCUGUAAACAUUUAAGAUUAAAAAAAAAACUAAAGAGAUUGAAAUGUAUAAGCUUGGAGAUUUAACUUGAGAUAUCUGAUAUGAAGUUCAACCACUAUUAUCACUUUUAUCAAGUGAACAACAUUGAGCACAAUUUUUAAAGUCAAUGAUUUCACCUACUUUCUCCAUCAGUCAUGUCCUCUUAGCCUACAAAAAAAAAAAAAACAUUGAGCACAAAACAAAAAACAAAUAGGUAAGUCAACAAAAAAAAUCAGCUUUGAAUCAUUAGAUCUCAAAUAAAUAAGUCCAGCAAAGAGAAUAAAAAAUAAAGAGAAACAGGAUUCCAAGUCCGAAUUUUCCACAUGUUAACCUGUGCCUCAUCAGAUACGGUAGCCAUCUUUUCCAGUAAACAUGGAUUCUUCAGACUUACCUAAAAAUAUGAACUCUUCAGAUGGGUCUACAAAUUACUUCUUGCAGGCCGACGAAAAACUUUUAUGAAUUUAUUAAUAAGCAUAUAAAAAUUUUAGAUUUGUCGAGCAAACACAAAUUUCUAUAAAGCUGCUUGAGGUACUUUUCUUCCAUGAGAAAUUCAUGCCAUUGACCCCAUGCUCUGCUAUAAGACUAGAGAUUAGAAGCAAAAUUUGAAUGCCAUUUUUAAGAAUCCAAAAAUUUGAAUGGGAAGAAAUCCUUUCGCAGGUCAAUGAGAACAGUCAAGCAAAUGGCAAAGGUGUUAGCAGUCAAAACUUGAAAUUUAAAAGAAAAAGCAUUAUGCAGAGAACCCUUGAAACUUUAAAGUGAAAUUAGGUGACACUUUUUGAAACAUCAAAGGGGAAAAGCAUUUAAAACCGGGAAAGUUUUAAAAAGUUUAAAAAUGAUGAUGAUGAAGAAAACAAGAACGACGACGAAAAACUAUCAACCAACCAUGGCAAGGUGCAUGACAGUAGGAAAAGAUCUAGACAAAAAGGAAAAAACAACAAAUCUAACGCAGAAUAAUAUAGUAUUAGGUGAAAAACCAUGAGAUGAAACAUGCAUGGGAUAACAUGAAUAGUUAUGGACUUAGUUAUGGCAUAAAUGAGAAUCAGCUUCCUCUAAGGUGAUGGAUACAUUGAGAUCUGUGUUUCAACAUUCUUUUGCACUAGCAUAAAUCUUCAGCACAUUCUGUGCAAUGCAUUCCACUCCUUUGGUCAUAAAUUUAAUUGGUAAGAACUAUAGACUUGACUUCCAAGUAAGCUUCAGUAUCCUCUCAAGACAGGAGUAAACUGCAUAUGCUUCUUGCUUCCUCAAGCACCCAAUUUGCAUCCAAAUCCAGAAUUGAAUUAAUCAAAGUUUCACUAAAAUACGACCAGCCUCCAGCAUGAAAUUUAACUACAUAGAUCUUCUGCAUGAACCCAUCAAGAUUCCAAGCCUAACUACUCCAAUUGAUUAAAGGUCAUCAGAACAUUAUCGAUCAAUUAUGCAACAUACACUAUGUUGCUUCCUCCUGCAUUAGUUGCACAGGCAUCAAUGCAUAACANNNNNNNNNNNNNNNNNNNNNNNNNNNNNNNNNNNNNNNNNNNNNNNNNNNNNNNNNNNNNNNNNNNNNNNNNNNNNNCAGUACCUGCCAAUCUCUGCUAACUAGCAUGGACGAGUUACAUUCAUUAAUAGGCUUUCUACUCAUUCAUUAGCUUUUCCUUAAUGAAGUUUCAAACUUAUAGUUUCAGAAUACCUUUUGAUUGAAGUGUGAAAUAUUUCAGCCAAAGUAGAACUGCUUAACCAAAUAUACCAAAACUAGAAUAAAAAUCUGUAACAACCCAAUACCUCACCCAAAAAGGCUAGCCUAGAAGGUCAUAUUUGGGUUCCUUGCCCUGUAUAAGUACCGAAGACCUUCUCAAUACACAAGCAAUAUCAGACUAAACACAUGCCAGCACGGUUCCUUACCCCAUUUAUGCCCUAGCACCCCCGCCAAACUAGGGGAUGAAAUACAAUCAAAUUCAAAUAUAAUUCAAUCAUAAACACCACACCACAAUCCACCACGAUUGUUACCAUUUUCAGCGACCCAAGACCUCAACCAAAAAGGCUAGUCUUUAAGAUAUCAUUUGGAUAUCUUAUCCUUGUAUAAGUACCCAAGACCUCCAUAAUGCACAAACACUCUAGGACUAAAGACAUGCCUGCACGUUCCUCACAUACUCUUCACGUUUAAGCACUAGCAUUCUCAUCACAUUAAGGGUCUCAACCCACUUAAAUUCACAUCUAAGCAUACCACGAUCGGCCCAUGGUUAGUCCUAAAAGAGCUCGUGGUACAGUGCCCUCUAGUCCGCACAUGCCAUGGGCCAGGUUUUCUCUGAUACCGUUUGUAAUGGUCCAGAACCUUACCCAAAAAGACUAGCCAAGAAAAUAUUAUAUAGAUUCUCUGGCCCAAAACCUCCCUAGCACACAAUCAAUGUGAGACUAAACACAUGCCUACAUAGGUCCUCGCAAAAUCAAUUGGAAAGAUCACUAUGAAAAUUAUAAGAAAAGCAUAGGAACAUAAUACAUACAUACACCGAAGCAUAGGUGGGAGUACUUUACUUACAUGUGACAUGUUUGUUAUGCGGCUUGUGCAUAAAAACGCUUUAUAAACAUUGUGAACUUGUCAGGAAAUUUUUCUGCCCUAUGCAGAUAAUGUUUGCUCAAACAAGCUAGAAUUAUGUGCUACACAGUUAAGUAGAUUCCUCUAGGACAACAGGGCUCAACAUAUGUAGAUAAUUACUUUGGGCAGAUUGUCAUUUUGACACACUCCAGCAUAUGCCAGACAUCUAAGAUAUGAUCAUGUAGCCUAGCCACAAACGGAUGCUGAAGAUAGAUAUGUAAGACACCUAACAAAGUGUAGCACAGGUGAGAAAAAUAGUUUCUGAAGGGUUAAUUUCACAACCACAAAAAAUUGAAGGGGACAAUCUGUCCCAGCAUGUUUCUUCAUCAAGUAAAUAUGAAGUAUGCUUCCUCUUCCUCUGUUGAUCUCACUAGGCUAUGGCACCCAAUACAUGCAGCCCACUCUUUUGAAAAACCUUAAAAGAGCUAAACCGGCCUCUCAAUUUUCCUCUCUGUCCAUAAGAAGAAUACAACUUAAACACAGCCUUGAAUUUUCAAUUCAAGAGACGUGAAAAAACAAACUCUAUUUGACUUUUCCAUUUAAUGACAUAUAAAAAAUAAACUAUCAAAUAUAUAAUUCAACAGCUAUGCAAAACAUGGUGUUAGCUUUAGGCCUCGAGGUUGAAUAAUUCCACACAAACAAAAGCUUCUUGUGAUUAUACCAAUUACUGGUCAAGUUAUAAUUAGAGGCUGUAUAUACCCAGAAACUGGUCACCAUCUCUAAAAUUAAACGUACUUGUGAAAGAGACAAACAAAUAACUUAAAAUGAUUUUUAAACUUGCGCAUACUGUUAGUGCUUUCGAUGCAUCAGCCUACGAAUUCUUUACUGCAGCAUGGUUAUGCACGAAGGGGCUCAUGUGACAACAAGAGAAAUUACAUUGCAAGGGGCAAACAUGAAAUAGGAAAUGUAUAUAACUUACAUGUCCAAUGGAUAAGGACUUACAUGUAUUACAAGAACAGGACAGCUGACCUGUCGUAUCUUGUCAAUGUUCUGCAAAUGACCAGCGAGAUUUGCUCAGUACGCAACCGAAAAUCUAACCAUGCAAGAAAAUCAUGAAAAAUGCAUCGUAACUUACUUUGAAAAUAUCGAACCAGAAUGUCACCUUCACAGGGUACAAGACACGUAUGCCUGAUAGGAUUGCACUAUGAAGGACAACACCUCUCAGUUUCUGCAAGCGUGCAGCCAAGUGCAAUGUAGGUCCACUACCAACAGACUGGCCAUACAAAAUCAGAUCCUCCUGUCUUAUCCCAUACUCUUUCUUCAAACAAUCAUAAACAGCCUCUAUGUCAUAGUACGUAUUGAACUCCGAUGGCUUUUGAGAUGGAUGGCCAAUUACAAGAGAAACAGAAUAACAUCAGAAAUGGCAUUAAGAACAGAGAGUAUUUACAAUUAAAACUUGUCUAGAAUUUAUUUCCUAUUAUGACCAUAAAAGUUGUUUCAAGUUUUGUCAAGAUUUCCGCUAUGCACUUUCAAGAAGAAGCACAUAACAGGGUUAUGUGCUGAAGAUCCUAUCAACAGAUCACCUCUUACAUUGGCUAUAUGAGAUUUAUCUCAAUAACAAGGAGUUGCUAGUGUACAAUCAUUGACCUACACGUGGGCGGUAAUAGUAUUAUUUUUUUGGCAGCAUUAAGCCAAAAACCUAUUGAAUCUGUAGUUAGGAGACUGUAACAACUAGGACCUCUGAUGUUGUGAUAUUUUAGGUAUGUCCAAGUUAAGAAGUGGCCUGAAUUUAUAACAUUUGGAGAGACUAGUAAUUUUUAUUAGAAAAAUCAGAAUAAAGACAAGCAUGUGUUGCUAUUUCUGUUUUGAUGCUGCUGUUCAUAUUAAUCAGUGACAAGGACAAGUGGUAUCAUGUGAAUGGAUGAUGUCGAGAAUCUUUCAAAGGAGAAGAUUUUGUUCACUUGAUCCAAGCAGUUCAUCCCCCACACCCCCUGAUCUGUCCAUGACAGGUGAAGUAUUCACAGAAAGAAACAGUUCCCUGAUACAGGACAUCCUGCUAGCUUCCAGUUUGGCCCCUCCUAUCUUGACAAAUCCAAAGGCCAUCGCAAGGGAGGCAUGAUCUAACUCAACGAAUUAUAGAUGACAGUAGUACGGCUAUCAGAUAUUUUCCUCAAAAAAAUUGCAAAACCACUAAGAUGCUCAUUUUCAAAGCCUACAUACAAAAAAAACAAAUCUCACUCAUGCAUCUAUUCAUAUUAUGCUCACCUUCCCAGUGGAAGCCCCAUAACCAGAGUAAUCAUAACUGCAAAAAAAUAACAAAAACAUCCGUCAGCUCGUGCAGAAUAUAACAGCAAAGUCUCAGAUUCUUAAUUUCUCACUGUCUAAAAUCUAAAAGGAUAAUGAAAUCCCAGCAACACCGCAUGCAAAAGAAUUCUACAUGAAUCUCCAUCCAAAAUGGAGAAAAAGGAGGAGAACAGAGAAAGGAGCCUAUAUUGUAGUAGCGAAUUAAUCUCAUAAAUGAGGAAUACGAGCAACCAAGCUAUUAAUAUUGUGAUCACCCCUGAAAAAGAAUUUGAGAAAAAAAGAUAAUAAAUUGAACAAUAGUUAGUUAAGACUCCAAUUUUUUCGCAUAGCAUUUUUUCCAAAAGACCCCCAAUUUUUUAACAUUUCAUUUCCAACCAAAUAUAAAGGAAAUACUAGUUUGAAAAUAAAUAAGAGAGAACGAAACAUAUAUUUGCUUUCAGAUCCGAAAGUGUUUACAGAAACCCGGGAUCUCGCAAAGUCAUACAAAUAAUUCAAUUCUCAAGAGCAAAUUGACCCCAGAAACAAUAGUUUGUCGAUUAAGAUCUUCUCAGGAUUUGUGUUCUCUGCCCAGCGUUCAAAAGGUGUAUCAACUUUCUGGACAGAACAUCUAAAGCUGAUUCAUGUUUGUCACUGAGAUCAUACUCCAGAUGAGAUGCCUGUAUAAGCCUUUUUUUGUUCUUUUUACAUCUAGGAAACCAGCAGGCAUCCAUGAACAGGUAACCGGCUCCUAAAAGAGUGAACUGCUUCUGAAUCCCGUCAGAGGAUGUCAUUUUAAGCCGAAUCUCAAACACUUGUUGUGUUUGACUUCGGCGAUGGUCGAUGCAGGUGCAUUGCUUUGUUUCUGCUGCUUUGAGAGAGAGUGCUUCUCCAUUGCACUGAUAAAUUUUCGCAGGUGCCUGAUGUACUCGGGAUAAGUUUCUAGAUUGCAAUGACCACCACCCUUGACCCAUAGUGGAUCAUACUUUUCUUUGGAUAGCUCCCACAAGCGCUUUCCAUGGGACCAAUCAACAAUAUCAUCAGCUGUUCCNNN
rnacentral:lncRNA from 1 species